ACUCCUACGGGAGGCAGCAGUGGGAAUCUUGGACAAUGGGGCAACCGUGCAUCCAGCCAUGCCGCGUGAGUGAUGAAGGCCCUAGGGUCGUAAAGCUCUUUCGCCUGUGAAGAUAAUGACUGUAGCAGGUAAAGAAACCCCGCGUACAUCCGUGCCAGCAGCCGCGGUAAUACGGAGGGGGUUAGCGUUGUUCGGAAUUACUGGGCGUAAAGCGCGCGUA
rnacentral:rRNA from 1 species